rnacentral:rRNA from 1 species
UACGUAGGGUGCGAGCGUUGUCCGGAAUUAUUGGGCGUAAAGGGUAGGUAGGUGGUCUCAUUUGUCAGGGGUGAAAGCCUUGGGCUUAACUCAAGAAGUGCCUCUGAAACGGUGAGACUGGAGUCUUGGAGAGGGUCGUGGAAUUCCCGGUGUAGCGGUGAAAUGCGUAGAGAUCGGGAGGAACACCAGAGGCGAAGGCGGCGACCUGGACAAGUACUGACACUCAACUACGAAAGCGUGGGAGCAAACAGGG